AUUGAACGCUGGCGGCAGGCCUAACACAUGCAAGUCGAGCGGCAGCGGAAAGUAGCUUGCUACUUUGCCGGCGAGCGGCGGACGGGUGAGUAAUGUCUGGGAAACUGCCUGAUGGAGGGGGAUAACUACUGGAAACGGUAGCUAAUACCGCAUGACCUCGAAAGAGCAAAGUGGGGGAUCUUCGGACCUCACGCCAUCGGAUGUGCCCAGAUGGGAUUAGCUAGUAGGUGAGGUAAUGGCUCACCUAGGCGACGAUCCCUAGCUGGUCUGAGAGGAUGACCAGCCACACUGGAACUGAGACACGGUCCAGACUCCUACGGGAGGCAGCAGUGGGGAAUAUUGCACAAUGGGCGCAAGCCUGAUGCAGCCAUGCCGCGUGUGUCAAGAAGGCCUUAGGGUUGUAAAGACUUUCAGCGAGGAGGAAGGCACCAUACUUACGACGGGUGGUGAUUGA
rnacentral:rRNA from 1 species